rfam:Methylophaga nitratireducenticrescens strain JAM1, complete genome.
UUAACUGGCUGGAUUAUUUCAGAAUUUAACUCAUAGCCAAAGGCUAUAAAAAGUUGGAGUUUUUAUGUCAAUUACUGCAGAACAAAAGCAAGAAAUCAUUAAAAAAUACGGUCGUGGCGAA